GCACCACAAGAACGCGUGGAGCAUGUGGCUUAAUUUGACUCAACGCGGGAAAUCUUACCGGGUCCGGACACACUGAGGAUUGACAGGCAAUAUAUGUGACUCUUCGGAGUUUGCAUUGUUAAAUAUGCUAGUCCUUUCAUGAUUAUGUGAUAGGUGGUGCAUGGCCGUUCUUAGUUCGUGGAGUGAUCUGUCUGCUUAAUUGCGUUUCAAAUUACUUAUAAGGUAGCAAUACGCGAUGAAGCUUUCAAUAGUCCUCACGGAUUCACUUGAGUCUCUCGCUUCGCUAUCCUUUCGAAUGCAACGAACGUGACCGCAACCUCUUGUUGCCUUCGUUUAACAUCCUGCAGUCCUGUGGGUACUGAGGGCUUCACUCGGUGACUUUGGGCUGAGCAAUCGGUCU
rnacentral:rRNA from 1 species